rnacentral:rRNA from 1 species
AUAGCGUAUAUUAAAGUUGUUGCAGUUAAAAAGCUCGUAGUUGGAUCUCAGUUCGAGUCAGUCGGUCCACUUGCCAGUGGUUACUGAUUGACUGAACACUUUAUCGAGUUGUCCUAUGGUAUUCUUUACCGAGUGUCAUAGGCGAUCGAUACGUUUACUUUGAAAAAAUUAGAGUGCUCAAAGCAGGCGUACAGCCCGAAUAAUGUUGCAUGGAAUAAUGGAAUAGGACCUCGGUUCUAUUUUGUUGGUCUUCGGAAUCUGAGGUAAUGAUUAAGAGGGACAGACGGGGGCAUUCGUAUUGCGACGCUAGAGGUGAAAUUCUUGGACCGUUGCAAGACGAA